CAAUAGCGUAUAUUAAAGUUGUUGCGGUUAAAAAGCUCGUAGUUGGAUUUCUGCUGAGAACGACCGGUCCGCCCUCUGGGUGUGUAUCUGGCUCUUUCUUGGCAUCUUCUUGGUGAACGUUGCUGCACUUGACUGUGUGGAGCGCUACCCAGGACUUUUACUUUGAGGAAAUUAGAGUGUUUCAAGCAGGCAUACGCCUUGAAUACAUUAGCAUGGAAUAAUAAGAUAGGACCUCGGUUCUAUUUUGUUGGUUUCUAGAGCUGAGGUAAUGAUUAAUAGGGAUAGUUGGGGGCAUUCGUAUUUAACUGUCAGAGGUGAAAUUCUUGGAUUUGUUAAAGACGGACUACCGCGAAAGCAUUUGCCAAGGAUGUUUUCAUUG
rnacentral:rRNA from 1 species